UACGAAGGUGGCAAGCGUUGUUCGGAAUCACUGGGCAUAAAGCGCGCGUAGGCGGCCUCGCAAGUCGGAUGUGAAAUCCCUCAGCUCAACUGAGGAACUGCGUCCGAUACUGCCUGGCUUGAGGCCUGGAGGGGAGAGCGGAAUUCCUGGUGGAGCGGUGAAAUGCGUAGAGAUCAGGAGGAACGCCGGCGGCGAAAGCGGCUCUCUGGACAGGUUCUGACGCUGAGGCGCGAAAGCUAGGGGAGCAAACGGG
rnacentral:misc_RNA from 1 species